CCUACGGGAGGCAGCAGUGAGGAAUAUUGGUCAAUGGACGAGAGUCUGAACCAGCCAAGUAGCGUGAAGGAUGACUGCCCUAUGGGUUGUAAACUUCUUUUAUAUGGGAAUAAAAUGUUCCACGUGUGGGAUUUUGUAUGUACCAUAUGACUAAGGAUCGGCUAAAUCCGUGCCAGCAGCCGCGGUAAUACGGAAGAUCCGAGCGUUAUCCGGAGUUAUUGGGUUUAAAGGGAGCGUAGGUGGAUUGUUAAGUCAGUUGUGAAAGUUUGCGGCUAAACCGUAAAAUUGCAGUUGAAACUGGCAGUCUUGAGUACAGUAGAGGUGGGCGGAAUUCGUGGUGUAGCGGUGAAAUGCUUAGAUAUCACGAAGAACUCCGAUUGCGAAGGCAGUUCACUGGACUGCAACUGACACUGAGGCUCGAAAGUGUGGGUAUCAAACAGGAUUAGAUACCCGAGUAGUC
rnacentral:rRNA from 1 species